CCUACACGACCGUACCGCAAACCGACACUGGUGCGCGAGAUGAGUAUUCUAAGGCGCUUGAGAGAACUCAGGAGAAGGAACUCGGCAAAUUGACACCGUAACUUCGGAAGAAGGUGUGCCUUUAGUAGGUGAAGUCCCUCGCGGAUGGAGCCCAAUGAGGUUGCAAAAAAUCGGUGGCUGCGACUGUUUAUUAAAAACACAGCACUCUGCAAACACGAAAGUGGACGUAUAGGGUGUGACGCCUGCCCGGUGCUGGAAGAUUAAAUGAUGGGGUGCAAGCUCUUGAUUGAAGUCCCAGUAAACGGCGGCCGUAACAAUAACGGUCCUAAGGUAGCGAAAUUCCUUGUCGGGUAAGUUCCGACCUGCACGAAUGGCGUAACGAUGGCCACACUGUCUCCUCCUGAGACUCAGCGAAGUUGAAAUGUUUGUGAUGAUGCAAUCUCCCCGCGGAAAGACGGAAAGACCCCAUGAACCUUUACUGUAGCUUUGUAUUGGACUUUGAACAGAUCUGUGUAGGAUAGGUGGGAGGCUUUGAAGCAGGGUCGCUAGAUCUUGUGGAGCCAACGUUGAAAUACCACCCUGGUGUGUUUGAGGUUCUAACCUAGGCCCGUAAUCCGGGUUGGGGACAGUGCAUGGUAGGCAGUUUGACUGGGGCGGUCUCCUCCCAAAGUGUAACGGAGGAGUUCGAAGGUACGCUAGUUACGGUCGGACAUCGUGACGAUAGUGCAAUGGCAUAAGCGUGCUUAACUGCGAGACUGACAAGUCGAGCAGAUGCGAAAGCAGGACAUAGUGAUCCGGUGGUUCUGUAUGGAAGGGCCAUCGCUCAACGGAUAAAAGGUACUCUGGGGAUAACAGGCUGAUACCGCCCAAGAGUUCAUAUCGACGGCGGUGUUUGGCACCUCGAUGUCGGCUCAUCUCAUCCUGGGGCUGUAGCCGGUCCCAAGGGUAUGGCUGUUCGCCAUUUAAAGAGGUACGUGAGCUGGGUUUAAAACGUCGUGAGACAGUUUGGUCCCUAUCUUCCGUGGGCGCUGCAGAUUUGAGGAAGCCUGCUCCUAGUACGAGAGGACCGGAGUGGACGCACCUCUGGUGUAUCGGUUGUCACGCCAGUGGCAUUGCCGAGUAGCUAUGUGCGGAAGAGAUAACCGCUGAAAGCAUCUAAGCGGGAAACUCGUUUCAAGAUGAGAUCUGCCGGGGCCUUGAGCCCCCUGAAGAGUCGUUCAAGACCAGGACGUUGAUAGGUCGGGUGUGGAAGCGCAGUAAUGCGUUAAGCUAACCGAUACUAAUUGCUCGUGCGGCUUGACCAA
rnacentral:rRNA from 1 species